GGGACAGUAGCUCAGCUUGGGAGAGCACACGGCUGAAGACCGUGGAGUCGUGGGUUCAAAUGCGAUGUUGAAGCAUGCACCUUCAGCAAAGCUGAAGAUCCCACCUGUCCCA
rnacentral:tRNA from 1 species